GUUUCCAUAGUGUAGUGGUUAUCACGUUUACCUAACACGCAAAAAGUCCCUGGUUCGAGACCGGAUGGAAACA